UUCAUAAAGAGCGGACGAUCUCACUUUUAUCACCAACCUCUCUAUUUAUUUUUCACAUUCUUCUGAAGGGUUCGUUUCUUCCGUUGUAUUUUAAUUAGAUAUUUUAAUACUAAAUACAUUAACGCAACACGGCCCAGGACGAGUCUACAAGGGAAUUUCGCUUGAAAUUUAUUUUAAUAUUUUUCAGUGUCGUGUUUUUUUUUUUGUUGUUUUUUUUUCACGGACUUUAAAAAUCCUGAAUCCAAAUUUCCGUGGACGUUCAUUUGCGUAAAAUCCGCUGAUCAGAACGUCACGCAUCAUCAUCAUCAUCAUCAUCAGCAGAAGCAGGAGUAAAUAAGCAGUGUCUCGUCUGAAGGAUGGAGCAGCUCAGUCAGUGGCUCUGGAAGCAGGAAUACUGGCUUCCUCCGGGAAUCAGCUGGGAGGAUAUGGAGAAGAUGGAUGGCUCUCAGCGUCCGGUCCCGCGGGAUCUGCUCCUGGCUCUUCCUCUGGCUCUGGGAUUCAUCAUGCUUCGUUUCGCUUUUGAGAGAUGUGUGGCGCUUCCUCUCAGCAGAGUUUUCGGAGUGAGAGAUCGAGUUUGUUUGAAAGUCACUCCAUUCCCAAAUUUGGAGGCGUUUUACACUAAAAACAGCAGACAGCCGACGCAGGUUAGCACACACACACACACACACUCACUUACUUAGAAAU